rnacentral:lncRNA from 1 species
GCCUCUUGGAAACAGGAAGAAUGGCAUUUUUUCCUUUCGCAAGAGGCAUGGUUUUUUCAUGUGUUUUUUUUUGUAAAAAAGAAAGUUUGUCAAAACUUGUCAACAUGGGAUCUAGUCUUAAAGAUCUCGACGUGGGAAUUCCAACAAUAAAAACGGUUCAAAAUUUAGACGCACGGUUUAAAAGAUAAAACAUUUUUAAAAUAACGGUUCUAUAAAAAAAGAAUAUCUUUGAAGAUGCGAUAACUGACACAUAUACAAUACGACACUUAUCACAACCUGUAAAAGUGAAAGUGAUAUUUUAAGGGAGUCUUCGAUUAGUAAUUUCGACUUAGAUCCGAUCUAUAGAUACCAAUAGCAAAGUCACCGUUCCAACUAGGCCCGAUCCAANCGUCAGUCAAUAUGACGCGUAUUAAUCCGAUGCAGGAGGUUACCGUGACUGCUGUUGGUUUCUAGUACACGGAGAGGUUCACGGAGCUGUUUCCUCCAGCGACAGCGAGGAGGGUUGCGCGCGGGGCGGCAGGGUAGCCAGCGAGCGAUGCAACAAGCAGGCAGUGAGCGGCAUGGGCCCUAGGCAGUAGUCUGCGUGCGCUUCGCUGAACAUUGUCUACCGUUCGUGCCUCUCGAAGACGAAAGAAAAAACAUGUUUUUGGUUUUUUUUUCUUUUGCAAAAGGCACUGUCGUGCCUCUUGGAAACAGGAAGAAUGGCAUUUUUUCCUUUCGCAAGAGGCAUGGUUUUUUCAUGUGUUUUUUUUUGUAAAAAAGAAAGUUUGUCAGAACUUGUCAACAUGGGAUCUAGUCUUAAAGAUCUCGACGUGGGAAUUCCAACAAUAAAAACGAUUCAAAAUUUAGACGCACGGUUUAAAAGAUAAAACAUUUUAAAAUAACGGUUCUAUAAAAAAAGAAAAUCUUUGAAGAUGCGAUAAGUGACACAUAUACAAUAGGACACUUAUCACAACCUGUAAAAGUGAAAGUGAUAUUUUAAGAAAGUCUUAAUUUCGACUUAGAUCCAAUCUAUAGAUACCAAUAGCAAAGUCAUCGUUUCAACUAGGCCCGAUCCAAAGGCCAGCCUAGCUCGACUAUGACCUACACCAAAACCCUAGCUCCCAAAGAUUGCCA